UUUUAGAAUAAAUUUUAUAUUUAAGUAUCUCGUAUUUGUAAUAAUAUAUAUAAACUUUUCCAUUACUAUUUAUUUUUUUACUUUUAUUUAUUUUUAUUAGUUAUUUCAUAUAUACGUAUGUAUGUAUUGUAUUAUAUAAUGCUAUGCAAUAUUUGUAAUUAUGCAUAACUGUUGCUGUUUUUUCACAAUUUACAUUCAUAGCAAUAAUUCUGCUUUGACGGUAGUCUUACACAUAUUGAAUUUAGAAAUACUAUUAUAUAGUAUAUGUAUGUUAUGUAUGAAUUUUAUUGUAAAUCUAAAGAAAGAUGCUUGCAAAUUUAGACACAUUUUGGUGCAAUUGGGGACAAACACAUUAGAUUUUUCGAUUCGUUUAUUAACGUAAUAUGCUCUGUAAUUGGUUUCUUUAAUUUCUUUUAGAAAUCAAAGCUUUCGCCAAGUAAAUUAGAAUUAUUAAAUAAAUUAAUAUGACUUCUUGUUUAUGUGUUCAUUUAAAGUUGUAGAUAAUAUAUGGUAUAUAUUCACUAUAAUAACAUACAUACAUAUUAUUUAUUUCCUUUUUUUCUUUUGUAUUCUGCAUUUCACUGCUUUCAUUUUUAAAAUGCACUUCAUUACGGGCUUCUUACACACUUCACUUCUGUUAUUAUUUAAUUUUCAUGUACGUAUAUUUGUUAAGUUUCGUUUGUGCAAUAUUUUAAAAGUAUAUGUACAUUUGUAUGAGUGUUUACAUAUACAUAUAUGUAAUAAAUAACUAAACUGGAUUUAGCUGGAUUAAAGCUUAAAUAGAUUUAGCUAUAUGUCAAAAUAUUCGCAGUUCAGAGAUAAUGAAAUACAUUAUAAUUGCGAAUGCGAACAAGUCAAAGCGCUUUUAGAUUUUUUUCUUAUUUCAUUUAAGAUAGAAAAAACAAAAACAAAUAACGAUAAAAAACAAUGUCGGAGUAACACUAGUGAAUGCAAGCUUGGAAAAUUGUCGCCAUUGCAACUUGCUGGCAACGUACCAGUUAUCAGUGCUCUUUAAUUACCAAUACCACCUUUACUAAGAUCAUGUUUUUAACACAGCAGUUCGACAAAAUGAACAUUAGAAAAAUUCCGUCUGUUGGUUUUGGUUGACCUAUAAAAAAAAACUUUCAAGGAGCUAGCUUUCGAUAAGUGAGAAGAUCAACGCAUACGGCCUUCCAAGUGGUGUGUGUGGCCCUAAAUUUAAGAUAAAAGUGCUGCAAUUAUUGAAUUUAUCAUUUUUAUUUACGUUAUCGUUACUUCCAUGUAAUUUUUGGCCUUAUUUUGGUUUCGACGUCCAACCAGGCUACCAAAUAAUGUAUAAAAAUUAUUUUAAUUAACGUUAAAUAUAAUUUUUUUAAAUUUUGUAUUUCCGAAAACUUUAGUUAAAAAUAAUGUAUAUAACUAUGUUUUUUUAAUCCGUAAAAAUAAUCGCAAGUUUACAAUAAAAAUAAAUAAAUAAAAAAUGUUUAAUCCCAAAAUCGGAAAAACUUUCAAUUUUUAAUUCUUAUUUCGGGAUCUAAUAUUUAAUAAUUUAAUAUUAACUUAACAAAGCAUAUUUACUUAUUUAUUUUUUUCAAUAAUAUUAUUUUGUCACAAACAUUUGCUGGCAAUUCUUAAUAUUAAUCGUUUUUAUUUCAUGGAAACAUUUUGUUAAAAUACGUAUUUGGUUUUUGUAAAACGAUGUAUCUAAAUAUUUGCUUAAAUCUUCCUCUAACUUUGAAUUUAUUUAUUCAUUUUCACUUACACUUAAAUUACAAAAUUAUGUUUUCUUGAUUUAUAGUUCAAGACUAUUUUCGUAAUACCUGAAUUUUAGAAUUUUGAGUCCGAAACGCGGUUUUGUUUUGUGUGUUUUUCAUUCUUCUUGCUUUUGUCUUGCUAAAUAGUUGCAGUUUUAAUUGGUAUUUUGGUUUGUUACUUUGACUUAUGUACUAUGUACUCGUAUGUGUAUGUAGUCGUGUAUGUCGUUUAUUUUUUCGUCAUAUCCAAAAGGGUUGUUGCCAAAAGUUUUGUAAUUUGCUUUGGUUUGGUUUUCUUGUACAGCGCACUCACAUUAUUUAUCAUUAAUCAUAUUUAAAUUUAAUGUAUUUAUAUGUUUAUACAUGCAGAUAUGUGUAUAUGUAGUAUGAGUUUUUUUUUAGUAUGAGUUGGUUUCAAAUAGUUAGUGCAUUUUUAUAUAGUUUAAAUUUUGUAAACAUUGUUUAAUUUAUGUUGUUGUUUGCUUCCAAUUAGAGAAUUUGUGCGAAUCAAUCAGCAAACAUAAAGACAGCGAGACGUUAAUUCGCUGAUUUAUACACGUAGUAUGAAAGCUGUUCGGGGGAAAGAAAUUCGCAUAAGUUUUUACUUAAAAGCCCCACUGAGUUAAAAAAUAGCGGUUACAAUAGCAUGUACACUGUGGUGGUUGCAAAUUUUAAACAAUUAAACAAUAAGGAGAAAAAAAAAAUCAGCAAUUUACAUCUUUAAAAUACAAUGUGUAUAUAAAACGGAGCUCAAUGUGUAAGGGAGGUGGAUAGGUAAAAAAAAUAUAAAGGAAGGUUGAAAUAAUUAACUGGAUUGUGGAGCGGGAAGUGGUGAGAUUUGGAAACAAAUUAAAAAUUUUUAAAAUAAUUAAAAAUGUACUUUGUGCUGGUGGCAUACUCAUACAAAGGUAUAAAUAAAUAAUUAUUUGUUUGAUUUACAUGAAAUUCUACUUCAAUUUAUGUUUCAAUGCAUUUACAACUAACUUAAUGUUAGAAAUUGCGAGUGAAAGGAAAGAAAAUCGCCGAAAAUUUGCAAGAUGCACAUAAGUAAUUAUAGGUUAUGCUCGCUUAGUUACCAAUGCUUUUAUCUGUGUGUGGUUGUGGUUGUGUAUUAUAAAACAUUCUCAUGCAUUUACUUGUUUGUUUAUGCGCUGAUUUAAAAAAUUGAAUAAAAUGAUAAUAGUGUCUUGAAUGGGUUACUUCGUUAUUAUAACUUUGCUUGUAUGAAUGUUUGCCAAGAUUGAAUAAUUGUUAUCGUGUGCCGUUUGUAGCAAUUUAUUAAAUGUGUUAACAUUAUGUUUAAGCCAUCUUUAAGCUUCAUCUAUAAUUAAUUUAGCUUCAUCUAUAAUAACUUUAAGUUCAGUUCACCCACUAACCUGCAAAGGCUACUUAGUUAAUAAUUAAUUAUUUAUUUUCUGCACUUCUUUAAAUUACAUGUUGUUUUUUGUUUUCUUUCGUUUUUCUUUGUUUGAUUGUAUUAAUACAAUCGGUUAAUUCAUUAUUUACUUAUUUGAAUUCAUUACA